GAUGAACGCUAGCGACAGGCCUAACACAUGCAAGUCGAGGGGCAGCACAAAGUAGCAAUACUUGGUGGCGACCGGCGCACGGGUGAGUAACACGUAUGCAACCUACCUGUAAGCGGGGAAUAACCCGGAGAAAUUCGGACUAACACCGCAUAAUACUGAAUUACUGCAUGGUUUUUCAGUUAAAUAUUUAUAGCUUACAGAUGGGCAUGCGUAUGAUUAGAUAGUUGGUAGGGUAACGGCCUACCAAGUCAACGAUCAUUAGGGGUUCUGAGAGGAAGGUCCCCCACACUGGUACUGAGGCACGGACCAGACUCCUACGGGAGGCAGCAGUGAGGAAUAUUGGUCAAUGGGCGAGAGCCUGAACCAGCCAAGUCGCGUGAAGGAAGAAGGUUCUAUGGAUUGUAAACUUCUUUUGUAAGGGAAUAAAAAGAGUACGUGUACUCUAUUGUAUGUACUUUACGAAUAAGGAUCGGCUAACUCCGUG
rnacentral:rRNA from 1 species